rnacentral:rRNA from 1 species
UACGAAGGGUGCAAGCGUUACUCGGAAUUACUGGGCGUAAAGCGUGCGUAGGUGGUUUGUUAAGUCUGUUGUGAAAGCCCCGGGCUCAACCUGGGAAUGGCAAUGGAUACUGGCAGGCUAGAGUGCGGUAGAGGGUAGUGGAAUUCCCGGUGUAGCGGUGAAAUGCGUAGAGAUCGGGAGGAACACCUGUGGCGAAAGGCGGCUC